UCCAGUCAUAUGAUCAGUACCUAAAACUAGUUACUGGGCAUUUUAGUGCCUUCAGAAAGGGGACUGGGUGAACUAAAGUUCUUUCAACUUAUAAAAAGGGGUCUCGGAAGACUUGAGAGAGAAGAGAGUACACUGUUGGGAAGAAUCAGGCCCUCGGUUUUACUAGUCCUGGAUAGUACGUAAAAGUCUGCUUCUAGUCUAACCCUUUUUCAGGGUUUUUCCAGUUUCAAAACGUAGCAGUUUACAAAAAGUUAGAACUACCUUGUCUCCAUUGAAACAGCUUGUGAAGUUGAGUCAGAUUUCUUAAAUUAUACUUGAUGGCCUCAGACCUGGAACAGUCAGUGGAUUAUUUGUUCAUUAUUUUCCCAGUUAAUUAAAUUAACAUUUAGUACUUGCAGGUCUUAAAAAACAAAAACAAAAACCAAAAAAACCCCCAAAACCCCAAAACAACACAAAAGAAACCCCAACCAACAAACCCCCACAAAAAAUGAAAAUGCUAAACAAGGAAAGCCAAUAUGGCCAUGCCCACAACGCACUUCAUAUUGGGCAUCUUUACCUUUCCUGUCUGUGAAGGGCAGAGUGAUUUGCAGUAGUGGUCCUUCAGGUAGAUGUUAGCCUGUCAGAUUUAUGGAACACUCCACUAAUGCAGCAGUUCAAGAACGUACAUACAUAUGGCUGAUCAUUUUUCAAUACAAGUUAGUUAUUGGCAAGGAUGGCUCUAGUUGGACAUCAAGUUUCUGGACUCUUGUAUGCAAAGUUUGCUGUGUGCCUGUCCAGGAAGAGUAGAAGAGCUAUGAAUUCUUUUUGCUUUCUAUUUUUGCAAGCAUGGUCAUUUUUCAGGUAGCUGAUAAAUUGGUUUGUGCUGCAGUGGGGGUUCUGUGACCACAUCUGAAGUGUACUUCAGGCUGUUUCAGGAAGAUCAAAGUUGGAAGGUCUUUGGUAAGGUGUUCAUGGAACUCUAAUGCUGGGUAUCCAAAGAUCUCAUACAGUGCUAAAAAUAAAACUAGGAAGAUGAUAGCUAACUGGCAUACCUUAGGAUUGCAAGUAAUUUUUAAGAGGGUCAAAAACUGGAGUAGUAUACAUCAUAAGAGUCCUCAGAUAACGUAAGCACUAUCAUACUUACUCCAGAUAGCUGAGCAGUAACCUCAUAAGUAAGCACUAUCAUGCUUACUCCAUCAUGCUUACUCCAGUAAGCUGAGCAGCCACCUUUAUUCGCCUUGUGUUUUCCAACAGUUCUGGAUUCAAUGUAAAAUUUUUGCUGAACGUGACUUUAAAGAAGACUCUUAAUAUAAGCAUUUCUGUCAAAUACUUGUUUUUUCUGUCCCACCCAUUUUCUUUCAGAUAGUAUUUAGGGGUUUACUACAAAAACCCUACUAAUUAAUAGCUAGUCAGUCUUUAUGCCAUAUGUUUUGUGUCAGAUUUCUGUAACUUUGAUUUUUUUUCUUUUUUUUUUUUAAUUGUUGUACCUUCACAGGAUGAUAAUACAUUACAUACUUCUAAGAAAGCAGUCUGUAGGCUUUUUGGUAGUGUUGCAGAGCCUAACAUAUAGGUCAGAGGAAAAUAAACUUCAGGUUGAAGAGGGAGUCCUUAGCAGUGUUUCACAGUGAAUGUGCUUGCUAGCAAAAUUUCUCAGCUACUUCUCAUUCACAUUCAAAUCAGUAUUCGACCAUCAGUGCUGUUAUCCCUUGUUAAAAUGAAGUAUACUUGCUGCUUGCAGUUCUUGCUACUCUGAUAUGUACAAACCAAUUGAUGCUAGUAGAGACAUCAGAUUGAAGGUUCCUGAGAAAUGAGGACACUUAAAGCCUUAACGGUAGUAUCUGUAGCUUCUCUCUUCUACUUUUUCUUUACUGUCCCUUCUUGGAUUGGAUGUACACCUCUGCUUGUCUGUCUUUGCAGAGAGACAGAAGUGUUACCUGCAGUAUCUUGGAUCUGUAUAGCCAGCAAACUACAGAUGCAAAGUCCACUUGCAAGGUUUGAGGUUUUUUGAAUGGACCUUGCUAUUUUCAAAUGAGUUUUUGAUGUGGUAUGUAAAGGUCAAAAUACUGCAGGAUUCUCUUCUUUGAAUUUCUUUUAUAUUAUUCUUAUCUACAUGAGGUAUGAGAUCUUGAGUUACUAAUUUUGUCAGCAUUUCUAGAUGAUGCAUGGAAUGUAGACAUGCUUAUUAGCUAAUUUUGCACUUAAUUUGCCCAUUUUAUGGGAGUAAACAUUCAUUAUUCCUCAUGUCUGCAAAGCAUUAAAAUAUACAUUUUCUUUAAUGUUCCUCGUAAACAUUAAAUAUUUCACAACAUGUUUCCUCCUGUGUAAUUUCUCCAGUGGCGGUCCAUAGAAAAUAAAUGUGCUUUUUUCCUCCCCUUUUAUUUGUUGCUUGACUGACUCUUGGUUGUACAGUUUUUUAGACUUUCUCUCAUGUCAGAUAGAUGUCUUCAACUGCAUGCUUAUGAGUGUGUUCAAAAAGGUGUGCAGUGCAGCAUGUGAAAUCUAAAGGUCAUAAAUUAAAUCUAUUUUCACUGGGCCAAAGUGGGAUGCAUGCAGUGAAGACUGCAUGUUCCACAUUGCAAGAGGCUGUUCAGAUGUGAGAGGCAGUUCCACGAAUGUAGGUCAUCUUUUCUCUUUCAUUGGAAAUAGCUUCAAAAAUCCUUUUAGCAACUGAGCUGAGAUUUAAAAUAGAAGCAGCUAAAGAACAUCAGAUGUCUGGCUCUAUCAGUAGAAGUUGCUGAAAUGAGAUAUAAACGUGCAGGUACUUGAGUAGCUCAAAGUAAUUUUUUUUUUUUUCUAGUAUAUUAUAAGAUCUGUGUAGUGUGGGAAUGGCAGUGUGUUUAUACACAUGGAAGAAAAACAGUGCAGUUGUCCAGCUCUUAAUUGCUGUGAUUAGCUCCACUACUCCCUCAACCAAGAAUUAGUAAUAAUGGAUUUUUAAAUUAAAUUUGAAUGUAAGAAAUAAAUUAGAAAUCAGUGCUCUUCUGUUAUAGCACAAAGUUUAGAGGCUAGCGUUGAGGGUUUAGAGCCCAGUUCUGUGGUGGGAGUCACCAUCCUUCUUCUCAGAGGCAACACUUAGAAUGUUUAUUCCUUUAACUUUACUAAUUUUCACUUAUUUGAACUUUUUACAUUAAUCCAGUGUUUCUGCCCUCUAAUUACAUAAAAGCCGUGAAUUCGAGUGCUUUGGGAUUGAGGUAUGAUAACCUAGCUUUCCAUGAAGACUUUUCCUGCAAGGUAGAGAUUUCUGACAGACUGAGGAAAAUUGCAUAUUUUUUUGGUAGGCUUGUCUUGUUUGAGCGGUCAAGUAUAACUGAAAGCAUGUGUCUGCAAAUGUGAUCUUUUGAGCAUAAAGAUUUUUCUACUGAGUUAGGCUUCUUUCAGUGCUGUUUGUAUGAGAGAGAAGAGUUGAGGUGAAUUAGGUAGGAACGUUUUCUACUCAAGACUUCUACAGAAAGAUUAACCUUUAGAAAAACAGGGAAAAAAGGAAAGUUGUACAUUAGACCAGUAUAACCAGUCAUCUCCUUCAUUAAUGGACCUUAUUUUCCCUUCUGAAGGUCUCUUAGCAGGGAAGGAUGUAGUUUGCCUCAGAGGUGUGUAGCUUGUUCGAGCUGGCUGGAACAAAUAUUUUGUGUUCAAGUGCACACAGGUCCUUCUCAUGAACAAAACUGAGUUCACUCAUUUCUCACUAGCAGUGGGAGAAUCUUCCCAUUACUUAGGAAGUGGCAGUAAUCCUCAAAUAUACAAAACAAUGAGGACAGUGUCCAGACCUUCUGGCUCACUGUCCCUAGGCUCCAGCUCCAUGUUGUGGGGAACUGCAGGGUGCAUACAGCGUGCUCCAGAGUUAGGGGUGGGGAGCUCCAGAAGACCUCCUGGAGGAGGACAGUGACACUUACCUCGGGCAUCCUACCACUCCUGUUGUGACACCAUCUUCCUCCUGCUGCACUUCUAGUGGACUUUGAGUAACUCUGAAGAAACUUUUGGUUUGUGAAUAAACCCUUCCCUAAUCAGCCAAGGUAGGAAUAUGGUUAAUUCAAGUAUAUGCCCAGUCUGUUUGCAUUGCAUUUUGGUGUUGUCACUGGAAGGGGCCACUAGGAAAGCAGCGUGCAUUGAACCAUGCAGCGUGUAGAGUCUUUAAGAAUCCCCGUCUAUUAGAAUACAGACACAACAGUAGUUUCAAAAGUGAGCAGAACUGUACUUCACAUGAAUAUUUCUGGAACACCAUAUUGUGCAUCUCUUUAACCACCUAUUUCCUUUCAAAGAGAUUGCAGUGAGCAGCAUUGUUUACUAAUCUCAUACACCCAGCCAUUAUCUUACAUGAAUAGACUUGUUUUUCCCUGCUUCUAUGCCUUUGCGUUUUAGUUUUUAAGGUGCAUGUUGUAGAUGUAUACGUUAACCACUGGAAUAAAACCUCCACAGUUGAUGUGUGUCGUGCUCUUCCUAACGCAAUACAUAUGUGUUGAUUAACCACUAUUAAGUGAUACAGCCUGGAGAACUGCACAUGUGCUGUACCCAGCGUACCAGGAAAAGAAAUUUAAGAUAGUGUGCUUAUAAAAGGUACAAAGUACAAGAACAGGCUUACUAAAGAUGAUAAAAGAACCAUGUUCUCCUAACAUCUUUUGUUUAGUACAAUAUAUCAAUUCUGGAUCAUUCCAUGUAGUUGUACAAGUCCUUCCUUCCUGCUGGUCAGACUGGGGAGGUUCAUCUAGACUUGAUGUAGUUGGAGACCUGUUUAUCUGAAGAAAUUUCAACAGCCAAGUAUUGGACUUUUUGCUAAAUUUAGGAAAUGGUUUUGUUUUUUCACUUUUUCCUCUUAUUUUCUCAUCCAGAACUCCUUAUUUGACCAGCAAUCAGAGUGAGAAGGAAGUUCUUGCAAACAGUGAUUUGCGUCAUCUCAUAUAGAUCAGUAUCUAAUGAUACAGUUUUACAGAUGUUUGUCAGUGCAAGAAGCUGGCCUUUCUAAUGCAGGUAUCUCUUCUGCUAGUGCUGUAGUCUGCUUUGGGAACUCAGAUAACACUAACACUUUGAUUUUCUGGUUUGGCUUUAGUGCAGUUUCUGUGUAGUGUUGACAAUGAUAGCUGUGGAAGGGCUGGAAUACUGCUUUUGGUGUACAUCCCUACAGCUGUGGUCCCAAGUAAAUGCUGUGGGAGAAUGACUUGUACAACCUAUUUCUUCUCACUAACUAUAAAUGGUUAAGUGUGGUGGAUCCCAUCAAUGACCAUGUUACUUUCUGAAGGGGAAAUACUUCUGUUAGGCUGAUGUUACAAACUGGGAGCAUGUUGUUGACAUCUCCUUGAUGUUGCAUAUGGCCAUGUUUUUGUGUUAGGCAGGUGGACAUUCAUUCCAAGAAUGAGUAGUUCAGUCAAGCGUGCCAUGAAGAAGUUGCCAGGAAUUGAGCAGGAAGGCCAAGACAGGGAAAUAGGUGAAAGGAUUUCGGGUGUCCAGCUGAAAGUGCAGGAAGGUAAUGAUGGACAGUUCUCCAGCUGAGGACAACAGCUGGCAAGUUCUUUGUAGGUUUUCCUUUGUGUUAAAAAUAAAAUAAUUUGAUGAUAAUGCCCAUGCACAAGGCUAGAAAAAAUGAGUGAUAGUGAGAUGCGUAUCCAGCAGAUAGUGGGUGUUCUUUCUGCCGGCUGAAGAUGGGGAGUAAAGCAAGUGAUACAGAUCUGUGUGGGUGAGUGAGGGAAUUCCACCCAAAGACUGGAAAGAUGUCAAGAUGUGGCAUCUCUUGUGCAAUACAGGAUCUUUUUGAAGGACUGUGUUCUAACUCUGUGCUAUGAAAUCAGCUGGCAGUCAGCAUGCUGGAGGAUCUUGCUGUUUGACUUGAAUCUCGCUAUAAGGUAUCUGAAGAACAUGUUCGGAUGGUGUGCUCCUGGAAUGAGUCGUCUUGCUUUCCUACAGUGUGCCCAUCACAAAAACAGUAGACCUUAUUAAAGUGCUUCCGCUUUUGAGAUGUGUAAGUCAAGCAAGUAAAGUAAUCUUAGAUUUUUUUUUUUUUUUUUUUUUGAAGCAAAAAUGCAUGUGAAGUCUCUGAAAAUCCUGAAUCUCUGUAGAAGUUUCCAAAAGAAUUUUGCAUGGGCAGUUGAAGGACCACAUGCAGUAACAUCAAAGUUGCAUUAAAAGAAAUCUGAUAUAGUCAGAUGAUGUAGUCUCGGUCUUCUGUGUUCAUAGGUCUUAGAUUUUUCUGAAUACCAUAACUGGGGACAAAGUAGCAGCAGUAUUUGGGUAGGGAGAAGAAAGCCUGACAAAGUUGCUUGUUGUUUUUUAAGAAAGUAACAUCUGCCUUUUUUUUUUUUUUUUUUUUUUAAGGGAGUGUUGUAGUGGACUGUAUCUUUCCAUUUUUUAAUCUCUUCCUCUGCAGUUCAAUUAGUCUCACUGAGAGGAGAGCACCCUUUCUGAGUAAGGAUACAAGGUAAACUACUUGACAAGUGUAUGGUAAAAAUCAUGACAGCGAUGGAACAGCUUUUUCCUAGUGUGAAAUCUGAACUUUCAAAAGUAACAUGUUGCUUGUAGGCUUGGUAACCAGCAGAGGAGUAGCAAGUAAUAACACUCUGUUAUAUCUGUGCUGUCUUCUGUAGCUGUAUAUGUUUCAGGUUGAGGUCCUAGGGAUUGAGAGCAGCCCUGCGGAGAAGGACUUGGGGGUACUGGUGGAUGAAAAGCUGGACAUGAGCCAGCAAUGUGCACUCACAGCCCAGAAAGCCGACCGUAUCCUGGGCUGCAUCAAAGGCAGCAUAACCAGCAGGUCGAGGGAGGGGAUUCUGCCCCUCUGCUCCGCUCUGGUAAGACCCCACCUGCAGUACUGUGUCCAGCUCUGGGGCCCCCCAACACAAGGACAUGGACCUGUUGGAGUGAGUCCCAAGGAGGGCCACAAAGAUGAUCAGAGGGCUGGAGCACCUCUCCUAUGAAGACAGGCUGAGAGUUGGGGUUGCUCAGCCUGGAGAAGAGAAGGCUCCGGGGACACGUUAGAGCAGCCUUUCAAUACUUAAAAGGGGGCUUAUAAGAAAGAUGGGGGCAGACAUUUUAGCAGGGCCUGUUGCGAUAGGACAAGGGGUAAUGGUUUUAAAGUGAAAGAGGCUAGAUGUAGAUUGAACAUAAGAAAUUUUUUAUGCUGAGGGUGGUGAAACACUGACACAGGUUGCCCAGAGAGGUGGUCGAUGCCCCAUCCCUGGAAGUGUUCAAGGUCAGGUUGGAUGGGCUCUGAGCAACCUGAUUUAGUUGAAGAUGUCCCUGUUCAUUGCAGGGGGGUUGGACUAGAUGACCUUUAAAGGUCCCUUCCAACCCAAAGUAUUCUAUGAUUCUAUGAAGCUUGAAAUGCAAAGAUGUUGUGUGUUUCACAUCUCUUUAACCAUCAUGUAUUUCUUACAGAGCUUCCAAUGAUAAGUAAAUUAAUGCAGAGCAGACCACAAGGAUGUCUCAUGUGACUUUUUUGCUAUAUAAAAAUGCCUGUCUUUCAGAUACUGAGCUGGAUCUGGCAGUAGAGACUGUGAGCUUUGCUCUUGGCAUAACAGGAGUAUGGGGGCUACAUAACUCACAUUGAUUCUCUAUUGGCAGUUACUGUGUUGGUAGGUAAAAAUUAGAUGAUGAUGCCUGAAUUUAUGAAUCCCCUGUGCACUGAGGGACUGCAGGAUGUAAAUAUGUAAGAGGACCUCCAGGAGGAAACGUGGGACUGGCAAAGCCACACUGAUAUGAAGCAAAGGCAGACUUCUUUUUGAUGCGCGGAGCCUUUGCUUGUGUUACCAGUAAAUUCUUUUCUGUUCCAAAUUGAGACUGUAAAAUCUGUGGCAAGAAAAAAACCCCCACAAUCAGACUUCAAUAACAAAAGACUGGGAAUGAUUGCAGUUACUUAUAGAGAUAGGAUUGCUUGAUGAAAAUUGAGAUGUAGUGUGUGAUUAAACAUAUAUUUGUUUGCUGUACUCGUGGUUCAGUCCUGUCAUUAUAACAAUUCAGCCAGUGCAGGUGUGUUACUGCUGUCUGGAAGAUGAUGUCUGGUGGCAGAAUGAAAGGAGAAGCAAAAGCCUAUGGCUGUGUAAAAUGAUUUUUUUUUUUUUUUGUCAAUUAGUUGUCUAAAUAAAAUAAGGUAUUUUAGAAAUUAUAGUUGAUUGAACAGCAAUCAGAAAUUAGGCUCCAAAAAAGUUAAACUUCAUGUUUUUAUUUGGUAUCUGCAGUAUGCAAGUGCCUGGUCCCUUUCAUCUACUAAUAAUGUUUUAGCUUCCAUUCUCAUCUCGUCUCUCAUAAUCCCUGAAGAAUAUUCAUGAUGCCCUAUGAAUUGAGCUGGCUGGUAAGUUAUCUGUCUUUAUACCUCUGGCGAAGUUUGAUUGCAAGCUUUUCUGAGAAUAUUUCAUUCCUAGCACUUCAUUUAUGCCCAGUCUGGUGUUAAAGCCUCUGUGGACAUACCAGUGUCACAGCAUCAAGUGAAUUGGAUCCUGGAUAUGCUUUUAAAUUUAUAAAAAUACUUAAAAAUAAAUGUUUACCUGUGGGUGAAUCCCAGCCUGUGGCACUGCUGUGGGUCGUGGCCUGCAGGGAAAAGCUGCUCUUCACCUUCUGACUGAUGCAUCUGUCAGCUGAUGUUUUGCAGAAUAGUAAAUGGGGGUGAAAGGAAUUACCAGAGCACAAAUAGCGAUCACAUCAUGGUUUCUUAUCCUGGGUACUAUGUUCUUAAACUUGUUAGAAUAAUGCCUGGUAUAAUCAAGCUAUACUUCACUACUUAAAUCAAGCUUAAUUUUAGCCCAGUGCUUUUUGAAUUGAAAUGACUCGGGCAAACCUUUGUUUUGAAAUAAUUAUAAUUGCUUCUUACAGUUUUGCACACAAAUUUCAGUUGUAUCCUGAUCUAAGAAAUUUUAGCAUUCCAGUAGAUGGCUCUUCAAUGUCCCUUUUGCAAUCCGCAUUCGAAAAAAAACCCAAAGAAAACAAACUUGACAGAUAGAGAAAUAGGACAGAAGAUUAUAGAACUCUAGUUUCUUUUCAAUAUUUAUUGUAUUUUUUCAAUAUUUUUCCUUUUCUAGGUGUUUUCUAGGUUUUGUGGACUUAGGCUCUGUCCCUCAACGUCUUGUGGUUCCUCAUGCACUCCAGUCAGCACUCUGUCAGAAGGCUUGACUCAUAUUUACCUUACAAUUUAGAACUGAUUCUCCUUGCAAACAUUUGAAACAAAAAAAAAAAAAAAAAAAGGAACUGAAUGAUAUUUCACUUUUUCCUAGGUUUCUAUACUUUUAAAUUGAAGCGUUUAGGAAGCUGGGUCUUAAUUAGCUUUUAGUGGAGGUGGGAUAGAAAAGUAUUUGUGUAACAGCCCAUUAUUUUUGCCUGAAAACACCUUUUUGGGUGUCACCUGACUCACCUCAGUGCCUUCUGAGAUACCCGCUGCUUUGCAAGGCUCACAUGGAAUAUUUGUGAGACUUAGUAAUACCACGCAACAAGAAAGGCAGAGCAGGAUGAAAAUCAAUUGUGUUCUCAGAAAUGGAGUUCAGUGCCUGCUUUUCAGCAUGUGAUUUGGGUUGAGAGAAGGAGGAUUGAAAGGAUAGUUCUGGUAUUUUGUUCAUUGGUCAUCUCAUGAAGAACUGCACAGCACUGCAUCUUCUGGAUAGAGAAGGGCAGACCUUUGGGAGCUGAAGACCGGUAAGACACUGGUGCAACUUUUCUUUGCUGGCCUUAGUGCCCCUUGCAGUGUUAAAAGUUUUGCUUUUCUAGCUUUGUUCUUCCUCCUGAUGUUUUGCCAGCAUUACAGAUGGGAGGUAUUAGCAUGUUCUUAACAACAACUGCGCCCCCCCCCCCCCCCCCCAAUACCUAGAAGUUUGAGAAGAUGGAAUUUCUUCAGUAAAGCUGUUACUGUGGAUGUCAUAGGGAGCUGGGGCAGGAAUCCCUGUCCCUGCAUGGAGCCACUGAGGUGCUGAUUGGAGCUGACUGUGCUGGAUUAUCAUCUUUCAGGUCUGAUGGAGCAGUGUUAUAUCAGGAUGCUCACAGAUGUGUCCAGGCUGUUUGCAGAGUGGAUGUAACUUUGAAAGCAGCAUGAUCAUACUAAUGUUCUGCCUGAUAGCAGAAGCUUGGACCGGAGGUGGCUUGAAGCUGCUGUGCCUGCAGCUUCUCCUGCUUUGUUCACAAAUGUGGUGGGCCCUGUACACCUGCAUCCUUUCCAGUUUCUCUUAAGAGCCUGGUGAGAUGGAAGUUCCUGAUCUUGUCAAAACCCAAACACAACAAAAAAAACCCCUGUAGCUUUGCUUGCAGCUUUUCAGCUCUCCAUAUGUUUUGCCGCAGAGGUCUGUGCUUGUCUCUUUGUGCUUCCUCUUUGUGUGACCCUUUCCCCUUUGGACUAGGACCCUUUCCCCUUUUUAUGAUGACUUCUCAGAACUUGGUCUUCCAGCCUCCUACCCAUCUUACGUUUACAAUAAGUAAAAUCUUUUCAGUCCCCUCAUUACCUGUGGUGGGUUUUUGUCCGUGGAUAGUAGCAGAACCUCCUGACAUCACUUUAGAGCCUUGGUUAAUGCCUGAGGUGUGGCAGCAGCAGGUAACAUUUGAGGUGAUGGUGUUUGAGGUCAUCCUGCUUCAUUGACUCUAAAUACCUUCCUGUUCUGUUGAGGUCUUCCCACCUCUGCGGUGCUGUUAUCCUAGCGUUGCUGAGUGCCAACUCAGAAGAAUUUCCAUCUUCCAGAACAGUACAAGAGGCAGCAGAAAGGGUGAAAUGAAGCUUUUAUUGGCUCUGGGGUUUUGCUCUAUUGUCUGAGUCCUAGGUAUGGUAAUCUGCUUUUUGAUGCAAAUUACACUUCUUGUGACCCAAGAGUUUAGGUAGGUCCAGAGUUCAGCUUGGUUUGAGUGAGCUUUAGAGUUUUAUACCUACACACUCAUGGCAGAAACCCAGCAACCGUUUUUCUUUCUUGGAACAGUUAAUUUGUUGGUCACAUCCAUUUGAGGCAAGUGUUUUUUUUCUAGAUCCCUUGAUCUCUGGCCUAUGCUGGGUCAUCAGCUUGGCUUUAUGUAUGUCUCUUGAUCUCUUUAGGGUUUGAGAAAUGAAGAUUUCUUUGGUUUCAUUCCUUUUUUAGGGAAACAGCAUGUUGUGGUCACAGCUGUCAGGUAGCUCUUGAAUCUUAAAAUUCAUAGUUUCUCCAAAACUGGUGGUUGUUCUGUUUGCUGCUUUUGGCCAUUAGGCUUAGAAGAUGCUCUCAGGAGAGUGUGGUAGUGCACUGCCUCUUGUAAUAGUGCCUUGUUGAUGAUAUCUUGACAGGUAUCAUCACUUCGACUCGCAUAGGCAACAAGAGAUCUUGCAGCCUGGUGGUUUGUCAUUCAUAUGAUGAAGGAAAGACACUGUGAUGGGCACUAAAGCACGGACUUGCAGUGUGAACUCUGAUGGCAGGUACUUGUGUCGAGUCCUAGUGGUCUGACAUAUCUGGGGAAGGCUUAGGUGCCGUGUGUCUCUUGGCCGUGGUUUUCUCUGUUCUCAAUUUAUUAAUUUCAGCAUUGAUAGAAAUGUUUGUUUGUCUUUGCAGCACAGCUCUUGGAUAUGCUAUAACAGAGAAGUAAAUGUAAAACAUACCAUGGAUAAACUGUCUUCUAGAAGAACCUUGGCAUCUGCCUGUCACGGCAAGUGAUCUGAGCAGUGACUUACCCGUGUUAGCAGUUUCAGGUGGGUGUGUUAUAUGUAUUUGCAGUCUUCUCUCUUGUUCUGUGCAGUGUACUAGAAACUGCACGUGCCUUGUAUAAUUUGUUUCCUACCCGGUCCUCUUGUAAUGUCCAUUUUUUCUAAUAAACAUCUUUUGAAGUCA